UGCUGAGGAGCGUUGCAACGGAUUCCAGUCCGCUAGGCUCAGAUAGAGACGAAAAAGAUUCAAACGGCGCUCGCUU
rnacentral:ncRNA from 1 species